CCUACGGGUGGCAGCAGUAGGGAAUUUUCGGCAAUGGGGGGAACUCUGAACGAGCCACGCCGCGUGAACGAAGAAGUUACUAGUAAUGUAAAGCUGCUUUAAUAGGGAAGAAAGCGAAAUUUGACGGUACUUGAAGAAUAAGCUGUGGCUAACUACGUGCCAGCAGCCGCGGUAAAACGACGGGAGAGAGCGUUAGCCGUAAUCAUUGGGCGUAAAGGGUGGGUAGAUGGGCUAGUAAGUCUUUUGUAAAAAUGCUGGGCUCAACCCAGAAGUGCAAAAGAUACUGCAAAGCUAGAGUAUUGCAGAGGCAGGUGGAACUACAUGUGUAGCGGUGAAAUGCUUAGAGAUAUGACAGAACACCGGUUGCGAAGGCAGCUUGCUG
rnacentral:rRNA from 1 species